UUCCGGUUGAUCCUGCCGGACCUGACUGCUAUCGGAUUGAUACUAAGCCAUGCGAGUCUUUGCAGUAAUGCAAGGCAUACGGCUCAGUAACACGUAGUCAACUUACCCUAUGGACGAGGAUAAUCUCGGGAAACUGAGCAUAAUACUCGAUAGAUCAUAAUGCCUGGAAUGGUUUAUGGUUGAAAUGAUUCGUCGCCAUAGGAUGGGACUGCGGCCUAUCAGCUUGUUGGUGAGGUAAUGGCCCACCAAGGCGAUUACAGGUACGGGCUCUGAGAGGAGAAGCCCGGAGAUGGGUACUGAGACAAGGACCCAGGCCCUAUGGGGCGCAGCAGGCGAGAAAACUUUGCAAUGUGCGAAAGCACGACAAGGUUAAUCCGAGUGAUUUCUGCUAAAGAAAUCUUUUGCAAGUCAUAAAACCACUAGUGAAUAAGGGGUGGGCAAGUUCUGGUGUCAGCCGCCGCGGUAAAACCAGCACCUCAAGUGGUCAGGAGGAUUAUUGGGCCUAAAGCAUCCGUAGCCGGCUCUGUAAGUUUUCGGUUAAAUCCAUGUGCUCAACGCAUGGGCUGCCGAAAAUACUGCAUAGCUAGGGAGUGGGAGAGGUAGACGGUACUCGGUAGGAAGGGGUAAAAUCCUUUGAUCUAUCGAUGACCACCUGUGGCGAAGGCGGUCUACCAGAACACGUUCGACGGUGAGGGAUGAAAGCUGGGGGAGCAAACCGGAUUAGAUACCCGGGUAGUCCCAGCUGUAAACGAUGCAGACUCGAUGAUGCAUUGGCAUAUAGCCAGUGCAGUGUCGCAGGGAAGCCGUUAAGUCUGCCGCCUGGGAAGUACGUACGCAAGUAUGAAACUUAAAGGAAUUGGCGGGGGAGCACCACAAGGGGUGAAGCCUGCGGUUCAAUUGGAUUCAACGCC
rnacentral:rRNA from 1 species